CUCACUAAUUGUAACUUUCACGCUUUACUUUUUGCUGUGUUAUGUGCUAAAGCUGAAAUCGCUAAAAUAAAAGUUAAACGACAGUCCACUCGCAAAGAUGUAUUCUUAUGUUUAUUAAUUUAAAUUUAAGAUACCACUACGCUACAUUAUUUGUGCCGUUCUACGCCGGAGAUUGGAGAAAAGGGCGCGCUUGUGAAUAAGAAUUCUACGUGAAUGGUGUUGAUAAUGCACUUUCGGUUUAGAAUUCUCAAGAGUUUCGCAAUGGAUACAGUGUACGAGGCGUAAAAAGUAUACCGCUCAUAUAUUUGUGGAAGAAAGAGGCAUUCACGCGACUAGAAGACAUUAAAUGUGGACAUGAAGCAACAUGCCAGUUGCGUGCAGGAAGUAGACACGUGGUAUAUCAGGCGCGGGAUAACGUCUUAGUUCAAUGCCAUUCACCGGCAGUUUGACAGGCGCAUUCGUAUUAUCAUCAUUUUCAUUGUCAGCAGAGCUGCUGCGGAAGUCUAUUUAGAUCAAAGAUGAAAAAUCAGAGGAUAAAAGAAGUUGGCCAAAAGUUGAAAGAAAUGGCGGACAGCUUUUCUGCAAAUGAUCAACCAUCCAGAAUGACACCUAUUUUAUCGUUCUGGAAUCGUCAUUGGAAGUUUAUGUUUUGGUUGACAGCAGCUGGUAUAGCCCUGCUUUUUAUUUUCUCAAGGCUUUAUCAAGAUGCUACAUGAAUGACACAGAUCUAUCUGAAUCUAAGAAUAUGAUAAGUUAUAAUAAAAUACGUCUGAUACGAAUAAUUGUGCAAGGAAUAAUGGUUGUUAAAAGUGAUUUCAUUUGAAUGAUAUAGUAUCAACUUAUUAAUUUUCGAUGGAAGAAGAAAAGUGAAACUGAAGAAAUGGCAAUUGCUUUUGCAGAAAUUUGGAGCAGUCAGUGCAAAUGAUUAUGUUGGAGUUUUUGAAUUUGAAUGAGUUUGAGGAAAAAAAUUGCUCAAUAAUUAAUUUUCCUUAAAUUUAUGUUUGAGAAAGUUUUUAACUGAUAAUUUUCUUGGUAUCUCAAGAAGUUUGAGAACAACUUCUUAGAAGCUGGAACUGUCCAUCUAAGAUCUGAAAAGACUUCAACACAAGUGAAGAAUCAAGUCACUGCUUUAAAUCUGCGUACUUAAUAUAUGUAUCAAGAAUAUUUCUUAUUCCAUUAAUUAUGUUGUAUAUUAAGUUAUUUUUUUCAUGUCCAUGACGAUUAAUCAUAUUUAAUAUUUCCUUAAGUUCAAGUUUAUGAGCUUGAACAUUAAACUUCAUUCCUUUCUGUAAAAUAAUGACUAGCAUCAUUACAAUUUAUUUUGAAAUAAAUCUUCUGUAGGAAGUAU